rnacentral:rRNA from 1 species
UGCAAGUCGAGCGCGGGAAGCAGGCAAUCUCUCUUCGGAGGGAAUGCGUGUGGAACGAGCGGCGGACGGGUGAGUAACACGUGGGCAACCUGCCCUGAGGUUUGGGAUAACCCCGGGAAACCGGGGCUAAUACCGGAUAGGCCCAUCGACCGCCUGGUCGAUGGGUAAAAGCGGGGAUUUUCCUCGCGCCCCAGGAUGGGCCCGCGGCGCAUUAGCUGGUUGGUGAGGUCACGGCUUACCAAGGCAACGAUGCGUAGCCGACCUGAGAGGGUGAUCGGCCACACUGGGACUGAGACACGGCCCAGACUCCUACGGGAGGCAGCAGUAGGGAAUCAUCCGCAAUGGGCGAAAGCCUGACGGUGCAACGCCGCGUGAGUGAAGAAGGUUUUCGGAUCGUAAAGCUCUGUUAUCCGAGAAGAACAAGUGCCGGUCGAAGAGGCCGGCGCCAUGACGGUACCGGAUCAGAAAGCCCCGGCUAACUACGUGCCAGCAGCCGCGGUAAUACGUAGGGGGCAAGCGUUGUCCGGAAUUAUUGGGCGUAAAGGGCGCGCAGGCGGUUUCCUAAGUCUGAUGUGAAAGGCCACGGCUCAACCGUGGAAUGGCAUUGGAAACUGGGGGACUUGAGUACAGGAGAGGAGAGUGGAAUUCCACGUGUAGCGGUGAAAUGCGUAGAGAUGUGGAGGAACACCAGUGGCGAAG